CCCAGGAUGGAGGCCGCUUCAUCUUCUCACAUCGAGUGAGUUCCCAUUUUCCCCCUCCAUGAAGUUUCAAAAUCCAGUUGUGGAACUGCAAAUCCAAUGCCAUAACAAAUGCAUGGAGUGCUGCUCACUAUCUCACCUUCUUCAGGCUGGCCCUGUGUCCCACGCUGAUCAGAGUCAUGCCCAGCUGAAGGCACACACGGUACAGGUCAUGUUCCACCUCUUCUGUCAAGGCACUGGUGGCUUCAUCUAGUACUGAGAGACAAGUUAAGGCAUGUGAGGAGAAGCUUAAUGACCUCAAUGAUGCAGCUGGUGCCAGCUAUAUGGGAAGGCUCCCCUAAGCCCUCAAGUCCACCCAAACAACACUGGUUGCCUCAUUCAUCUUCCUUAAAAGCUGCACAUUGCUGUACUGCCCUCACCAUUGUGACAGCCAAGGUGUUGCCUUCCCAAGACUGCACACCACUGUGCCUGGCCAAGGACCCAUAUACAGCAGCCAUGAUGGACUGGGGCAGCUCCCUGUCAGUUAAGGGUAAGUACUACAGACCAGAACAAAUGAAUUCUAUUUAUCUCACAUAAUCUACAGCUUUUAGUUUCCAAUCCAUGAGUCCCUGCACUGAGCAGUGCUGUAGACUUCAGAAGAAGAGCAGGACUUAAACAUGGCUUUUGCUGCUAACAUGGCUCUGCUCGCCCACAUGUACUUUGGCCCCUGACACCUCUUCCAACAGCCCUCAGCAGCUACUAGCCAUUUAAACAUGUAAAGGAAUUAGGAACCACCUGCAACUAUGAGCUUCUUUGUUCCAUGCUAUGCAGAUAAAGAAACAUUUUCACCUCUGAAUCCUGUGUGCUAUACUACCUAAUGUCACCAUUAUGGCCAAGCCUCUGCACCAGCUUUUGUUUAUGGCAAAGGUCCUACCUCUCUUCUAUAGUCACUC